rnacentral:rRNA from 1 species
UACGGAGGGUGCAAGCGUUAAUCGGAAUUACUGGGCGUAAAGCGCACGCAGGCGGUUUGUUAAGUCAGAUGUGAAAUCCCCGCGCUUAACGUGGGAACUGCAUUUGAAACUGGCAAGCUAGAGUCUUGUAGAGGGGGGUAGAAUUCCAGGUGUAGCGGUGAAAUGCGUAGAGAUCUGGAGGAAUACCAGUGGCGAAGGCGAGUCUCUGGACAUUUCCUGACGCUGAGGCACGAAAGCCAGGGGAGCAAACGGG